rnacentral:rRNA from 1 species
GGAAAUUUUUCCGCAAUGGGCGAAAGCCUGACGGAGCAAGACCGCGUGGGGGAGGAAGGUUCUUGGAUUGUCAACCCCUUUUCUCAGGGAAGAACGCAAUGACGGUACCUGAGGAAAAAGCAUCGGCUAACUCCGUGCCAGCAGCCGCGGUAAUACGGGGGAUGCAAGCGUUAUCCGGAAUGAUUGGGCGUAAAGAGUCCGUAGGUAGUCAUCCAAGUCUGCUGUUAAAGAGCGAGGCUUAACCUCGUAAAGGCAGUGGAAACUGGAAGACUAGAGUGUAGUAGGGGCAGAGGGAAUUCCUGGUGUAGCGGUGAAAUGCGUAGAGAUCAGGAAGAAC